ensembl:lncRNA SLC8A1-AS1 SLC8A1 antisense RNA 1
AAUCAUCAGGUGGUGAAGCCAGCCUGACUUGUGUCCUUCCCUUCAUGGUGUUCUGCACCAAUUCAAAUGAGAGACCCUAGAAAGGAGCCUCCAGGGAACUCCAGCUACUGUAUACAUCAUCUGUGGUUUUCAAGCUUCUUGAGCCUUGUAAUUAUCCAGUUGAUAUUUAUCUUGUUCCAGUCACCUUUAGAAAGCUGUUUGUAAUUAAUCAAACUCAAUAACAGCACAAAAGUAACAACUCAGGUGAAAAGAAAACUCACUUAUGUCUUCAAUGUCCAAUCAACAUUGCCAAAUGGGAGAACAGAGAACAAAGAUUGAAGAAGGUAUGGGCAGUUUGUGAAUCCAGACUCCUGGAUUUGUGCUGCUUUGUGCAUUCAUGAUCACACAUUCACACAGCCCAAUCAACUAUCACAGAGACUGGUGUCCAAGAGAGAAUCCAAGGGGUGCUGACAAGGUCUAGAUAACUGAUACAUUUGACAACGGACAGAGUGUCCAAGGAAAAUAUCAAGAAGCUUCAUCAUGUUCAACUCCGACUGUGACUACACAAUGGUUUUGGAAAUCACUAGUGGGUAAAAAAGACCAAUUUGCAACUAGGCUCUCAUGCUCUGUUGAAAACUAUGUCACAAUAUCACAAUACUAGAUGCUGGGCUCAAGACAGCAAACAGAAAGCAGCAAGGGCAGUGACUGGAAGCUGGGAGAGAGGGUCAACAGCUGAAUCUCAGCCUGAUGGAGGCCAC